rnacentral:lncRNA from 1 species
AAACGUCGAGUUUCUCCCAUUCGUCCGUUGAAGUAUGGUUAGGUCUUUUCCCAUUCAUCCGUUGAUGUAUGGUCACCUCUCCGUUGGUGUCGGUAAACGUCGAGUUUUUCCCAUUCAUCCGUUGACGUCUGGUUGUAUCUUUUUCCAUUCAUCCGUUGAUGUCUGGUCACCUCUCCGUUGGUGUCGGUAAACGUCGAGUUUCU